GCGAGCUCCUGACCAGCAAAGACACCACUCAGAGGACCAAGCCUUCCAAGCUGGCCAUGCCGGUUCGAUCCCGGUCACCCGCUCCA
rnacentral:tRNA from 1 species